CUGGUUGAAUUUGGAGGCUCAGGACUCUGACUCUGAAUUUAGAGAAGGUCCAGCUGUGAGGGGGAUGGAGUAUUUCCCAGUGAGAAACAGGUCAGGCUUUACAGCAUCACAGUCUGUUUCUGUAAUGAAUAACAUCUAGGAACUAGCAGCAGCACUUUCCUUCUGAAUGGGAUAUUGUUUCAAGAAAAAUUGAAAUAGAAAAAUGAAAUCUCUCUCUCUUUUUUUUUUUUUUUAAACAUUCUUAAGGGUUUUUAUUGGGAAAAAAAAUGCACGAUGAUCAAUAUGAAAUAUUUUGUCAGACCAAAUCUGAGUUUCGUGGUGGUAGGGAAAAAAAGUAAGUAAACUUGGGUUAAAAAACAACACCUAGCAAGGGUCAAAUACCCUUUUAAUUUCCCACUGUUGUGCUUUCUGGGCCACUAAUCAAUGUACAGUUACCAGCUGACCUUCCCAGUUUUUUAAGACAGUCAGUUAGGAAUUCAUGAUUAAUGCAUAAUCUUCUUCACGAAGCAGUUGCUGCUGCGACACCAACGUACUCACAAAGCUGGAGGGCUGCAGCACCCAAAGCUGCUUCUUGGCCUCGGGUACCUGUACCAGGCCCCUUGAUGGAGACAAGGAGCCACAGCAGAGGAGAGCAGCAUCAGGAUCCUUGUGCUCCAGGCAGACUAGGAGCACCUGGAAGGCAGAGCUGAUGAGCAGCCUGGAGAUGCAGGAGUCAGACGGCAAUGGCCAUCUCCAGGGAUGUUCCUCCUCGAUCUGCUGUGCAGCUUCAUCAGGAAACCCAGCCAGGUGGUGACGGGGAAGGGAGAGAGCAUUAAGAGAUCCUCAUCAGAUUUAAAGCAGUAAUGCUCGGUGGACCUAUGUUUGUUGUCCAAGAACAUUUCUCAAAAUCCUGGCUUUCUGAGCUUGUAUUUGUAACAGCCUUACUGCUAGCAAUGUAUCUUCUGUGUGUGGU